GGAACUGAGACACGGUCCAAACUCCUACGGGAGGCAGCAGUGGGGAAUAUUGCACAAUGGGCGAAAGCCUGAUGCAGCAACGCCGCGUGAGUGAUGAAGGCCUUCGGGUCGUAAAACUCUGUCCUCAAGGAAGAUAAUGACGGUACUUGAGGAGGAAGCCCCGGCUAACUACGUGCCAGCAGCCGCGGUAAUACGUAGGGGGCUAGCGUUAUCCGGAUUUACUGGGCGUAAAGGGUGCGUAGGCGGUCUUUCAAGUCAGGAGUGAAAGGCUACGGCUCAACCGUAGUAAGCUCUUGAAACUGGGAGACUUGAGUGCAGGAGAGGAGAGUGGAAUUCCUAGUGUAGCGGUGAAAUGCGUAGAUAUUAGGAGGAACACCAGUUGCGAAGGCGGCUCUCUGGACUGUAACUGACGCUGAGGCACGAAAGCGUGGGGAGCAAACAGGAUUAGAUAUCCUGGUAGUCCACGCUGUAAACGAUGAGUACUAGGUGUCGGGGGUUACCCCCCUCGGUGCCGCAGCUAACG
rnacentral:rRNA from 1 species